UGGCGGACGGGCGAGUAAUGUCUGGGAAACUGCCUGAUGGAGGGGGAUAACUACUGGAAACGGUAGCUAAUACCGCAUAACGUCGCAAGACCAAAGAGGGGGACCCUCGGGCCUCUUGCCAUCGGAUGUGCCCAGAUGGGAUUAGCUUGUUGGUGGGGUAACGGCUCACCUAGGCGACGAUCCCUAGCUGGUCUGAGAGGAUGACCAGCCACACUGGAACUGAGACACGGUCCAGACUCCUACGGGAGGCAGCAUG
rnacentral:rRNA from 1 species